rnacentral:rRNA from 1 species
AGCGAACGCUGGCGGCAGGCCUAACACAUGCAAGUCGAACGAAGUCUUCGGACUUAGUGGCGGACGGGUGAGUAACACGUGGGAACGCGCCUUUAGGUUCGGAAUAACUCAGGGAAACUUGUGCUAAUACCGAAUGUGCCCUUCGGGGGAAAGAUUUAUCGCCUUUAGAGCGGCCCGCGUCUGAUUAGCUAGUUGGUGAGGUAAAGGCUCACCAAGGCUACGAUCAGUAGCUGGUCUGAGAGGAUGACCAGCCACAUUGGGACUGAGACACGGCCCAAACUCCUACGGGAGGCAGCAGUGGGGAAUCUUGCGCAAUGGGCGAAAGCCUGACGCAGCCAUGCCGCGUGGAUGAUGAAGGUCUUAGGAUUGUAAAAUCCUUUCACCGGUGAAGAUAAUGACUGUAGCCGGAGAAGAAGCCCCGGCUAACUUCGUGCCAGCAGCCGCGGUAAGAC